GAAGAUGAAGACUGCACCAAUUUUAUGACACAUGGAAAGGCUUUCAACAAUUGGGUUGCUGUUGAUGUUCCUGUUAUUGUCCACCGCUCUAAGUAAUUUGUUUUUUCAUUAUUUUUAGAAAAAUCCUUCUCUUAUGCCUAAGGGAGAAGUGAACAUUGUUCGGAAUUUUUAAAUUUAUCAUCAAUAAAAUGCAAUUCUAUUCAUCCACAUCCAUGAUGUUUUUAUUUUUACUUUUUGCUUUUCUAAAAAUGGUAAUCACAAAAAACAU
rnacentral:lncRNA from 1 species